rnacentral:tRNA from 1 species
ACUUAAGUAGCUUAUAUUAGAGCAAGACAUUGAAGAUGUUUAGGUAAUAAAUUUAUUCUUAAGUA